GUGUGGACCAGAAGUGAGAGGCCAGGGCGUGGUGCAGCAAGGACCCAGCAGGCUGGGAGGCGGCACCUACCCUGUACCUGGGGCUCACGAGGCUGAGUCCGGCACGCAUCCUGCUCCAGGACAGCAGACAGGAGCAGCUGUGUUCAUUUGAGGAUUCUCAGCCCUGUCCCUCUCCGCCCAGCACCUGGUCUGGGAACAGCAGCGCUGAGUGGUGAAGUGCUGCACACAGCAUUUCCUUUACAGGCUUAUUGUUACUUAAAUGGAAAGUUUACCACGGUGGAUGCAGGCAAGAAAUGGAAAGCAAAUUUUGUUAAUCGGGAGCACAGAAUUCUGCAGUCAACUGACGAGUGUAGCAACACAGCAAGGACAGGAGGAUAUCGGACGGUUGCACUCGUGAUGACUGAGGAAUGUUUGUUUCAUCACAAAGUAAUAGAUUGGAAAAACCUGCAUACAUUACUGUCCAGGGGAGCCGUAAAUAAGACGAACUUCUUACACAAAGUAUCUUUUCUCGAGAGAGAGGUGGAUUUUUGCCAGAGCCAUUUCCAUUAAUUUCCUCACAGAGUGUCUUCGGCAAUCCUGACCCGCCGUGUGGAGGGAGCAUUCGGAGAGGCGCUGCCCGCUCUGCGAGCUCGCUGCCGCGCUGCUCAGUCAGGGGAUGCAUUGCCGAGGUAAAAGCUCUCUCUGAAAGUCAAUCAUUUGAAGAGUGGCGUCAAGAGGGGACUUUUGUGAUAUAAAAAUAACUGAACAGCAUUUCAUUCUGGUGAUUUGGACACUUUGUUCACAGGUAUAUUGCACAACUGGCUCUCUGCUGUGAAUUCAGAGGCUGAUCUUCCCUCCCUCCUUUCCUCCUCUCGCUUCCUUCUAUUUUAGUUUCGACAAAAAGUUCAUUUGUUUCUAUUUUUUUUUUUUUUUUUUUUUUUUUACAAAGGGUCCUGGAACUGUCUCCCUUGGAUACUAAGGGGCAAAAGUAUUCCUGUUUGGGACGAAGGGACUUUGAUACCAGUCAGGAGUACAUUGCACUUCCCUAAGAAUUGUCUACAAAGCCACCGUUACUACUGUGUAAUUUAAGAUCACAGAAAAAUGCUUGGUGGAAACACGAUGCAGUAAGAUCUUCGCACAGCUGUCAGAGGUUUCGCGCCCGUCCCCAUCCCCAUGGGCCUGCCAGGCCCCGCCCGACGCCACAGUCCUGUACCAAGGUUGUCUGGGUUGAGGACACAGUGAUAUUCUACUGUGUGCGUUUUUGAAUUGAAGAAUGUUUGCUAGGCUUUGGAAUGAGUGAACAGAGCAUGCUGGGAGAAACUACCUGUCUCUGUGUAUCUGUCUGUGUGUGGACCACCACUAGCCUGCUCAGGGGCUGCACAGUCUGUUCCCGCGCUCAGGACCUUUCAAAGCUGACCGGAAGU
rnacentral:lncRNA from 1 species